rnacentral:snRNA from 12 species
UUACUUUCCUGGCAACUUUCUCAGCCUUGAAUGACUUGGUGUAGUUAGAGGGUGAAGGCCUGUCUCUUGUACUAUGGGCAGGCACCCCUUCAAGAGUCUACAGAUGCCUCCAAAUAUGAGGAUCUCAGAUGCACAAUUUAUAAUAAUGGGGGAUUGUUCUCAGGCUCUCUCUCU